CUCACCCGGCCAGAGCUCCACCACUGCACCCGGCCCCAGCCCCAGCCCCAGCUACACUAUAGGAGAACCCGUAAGUCUCAGAGCUGGGACUUGAACCAGACAGAUCGGCUUGAGUGUCUGUGAUCUUAGUUUUUGGGCUCAAUUAUUCAGCAGAGAAGGAAAGAAAAAAGGCAAAUAUGUUUCUCCUUGACUUUUUGAACAUAUGGAACACAGUUAUAAUAACUGCUUUAAUGUCCUUGUCUGCUAAUUCUGGCUUCUGUGUCAGUUCUAUGUCAGUUUUGAUUGAUGUAUUCAUCUCCUUACUAUGGGUCAUAUUUUUCUUCUUUGCAUGACUGAUUAUAUUUUAUUGGAUGUCAGACAACAUGAAUUUUACUUCACUGGGUGCUGGAUAUUUUUGUGUUCCUAUAAAUAAUUGUGUGCUUUGUUCUGCGAUGCAGGAGCAGCCGCCGCUCCCGCUCAAACUCCUUCAUUCUCAUCACAUAGUCUCGGUGCUCGCAGUCCUCCCACUCGUGCCGCUCGUGCUUACAGGCCAGGAUAUUGGGGAAGUUGUCGCGCUUGCAGUUGAGCAGCCGGAUGAGGUAGUGGGCACAGUAGUCCCGCAGCUGGAGCCUGGCUGCGCGUCCAUCAUCUCCUGCUGUGUGGCCACCAUCUCGCGCUCCUUGCGCUCUGGUAAGCCAUAGUCGGGAGGGAAGGUUGGAAAAUUCAGGGGGUCGGAUUCCUUCGAGGCAUCGCCCACGUAGCGCCGGACCAGGUGCGCCCCCAUGGCUGCAGUCGCCGCAGGUUCCUGCAGCAUCCGAGGGUCACCUCGGCUUUUAUUUGCAUUUAUGUUAUACCAAUUUAUUCCCGAGCCAUAACUUUCUGUUUCUUCAGUUUCUUUCUGCAUAUGUUUUUCUUCUGUGCAACCUCCUCUUCCAGGUUAGGAACAGUUUUGUUUUUUUUUUUUUCAGGAAGGGUCAUCUUAGCGUGUCAGGAGGAGUGCGUGCGUGGGUUCAUCUGACCAUGAGCUCUGAGUUUCAUGGGACGUCUUGGGGGCUUUGUUCGCCUUCAUGUGCCCAAUGACUACAGCAUCUACAUCCAAACUCUUAAGGUCAGUGUUACUCUCUUCAUUUUGGGGCAGCAAUAAUUCAGCACAAUUUUUCGGCCACCAACCCUGUAUUAUCCCCACUGUCUGGCCUGGGCUCUGCUGCCGACUCCACUAUGGUAAGGCAGCAUGGCACACGUUGCUUCUAUAUUGUGACAUCUUUCAGAUACUGGGUGGCUUUGGGGAUAUGCAAAGCCUUGGUGGCCUUGGCAGUUUCACAGGUAUUCCUGAAGUGAACACAGAGAUUUGAACUUUGUGAUUUGUGUAAUCUUGUGGGUGUUGUGGGUCAAGUGAAUCAUGCACCAUUUUCAGAGUUUAACUUAGGCCACUUACGGGAAAAGCAGGGGGUUACUGGGCCCUGUCAUUUUGAAAGAUCAGCCUAGAGCCUGCUUUUCCAACCCACAAACAUCUCUGUAAGCACCUAAUUCCUUGGAUUAAAUUCCUUUUCUGUUUAAAACACCCAGAGCAGUUUCUAAUCUGUGAUUGAAGACUGAUGCACAGGUCAUUGCAGAAACUGAGCCCUUAUGAUCUCGCUUUUGAAAAAAUGCACAAAACGUAAUUUUGUGCUAACGAACCAUAAGAAGUGUUAAGCUCUUGUGUAUUUUUUGUCUCUCUCCUUUUACCCGCAAAGGCAUCUGUCAGUCUGUAUAUGGAAUCGUGUAAUAUGCUUGAUCUAAGGAUUUUAAGAUACCACAAAGCAGAUACCCAGAAAGUCAGAAGAAGAUGAAAGGGACCUUUCACCAUGUGUCAGGAAAAAAAUUCCAGCAAGACAUUUCACAUAUAAACAAACAGACAAACAAGAAUGCGCAAUGGCCUGGAGUGGCCAUGAAGGCUUGCUGGAGGCAGCACUAGGCAGGGGUGGAGAGCGCGGACACUGGUCAAUAGCUGCUGUUUGGGUUCAAACCCUGGCUCUAUGUCCUGGGAAAUUGGUUAACUGCAUCUAUAAGUUGGCAGUUGAUAAUAGUCUGUAUGUCAUCGGGAGAGGUAAUCCAUAUAUGUAAAGACAGGCUCUUCACUGUCACCCAGGCUAGAAUGCAGCAUUGCAAUCACAACUCACUGCAGCCUUGACUUCCUGAGCUCAGGUCAUUCUCCCACCUCAGCCUCCUGAGUACAAGAGACCACAGUCAUGUGCCAUCACACCUGGCUAAUUUUCCGUUUUUUGUUUGUUUUGUUUUUGUUUCUUUUGAUACAGUGUCUCAGUCUGUUGUGCGGGCUGGAGUGCAGUGGUGUGAUCUUGGUUCACCGCAACCUCCGCCUUCUGGGUUCAAGCAAUUCUCCUGUCUCAGCCUCCUGAGUAGCUGAGAUUAUAGGCAUACACCACCAUGUCCAGCUAAUUUUUGUAUUUUUGGUAGAGUCAGGGUUUCACCAUGUUGGCUAAGCUGUUCUCAAACUCCUGACCUCAGGUGAUCUGCCCACCUUGGCCUCCCAAACAGCUAGGAUUAUAGGGGUGAGCCACCACACACAGCAGUAAUGCUUUUAAAAGGUAUAUUAAAUCAAAUAAAAAUGGAGGUAGAACUUCAGUUGGAUAGAAUGCAUAUUAUCAAAUGAGUGAAGAGAUUUUUGAGGUAGGUAAAAGAAUAGUAAGGCUGGAGCACAGGAAGAAAUGUGGCUCGAGUUCUGUGCAAGCUGGUAUCGAGAGAUGGUGACAUCAAAUAUCUGCACAGUAAGGGAAGGACAGGGUGUAGGGUCUUGAACAGCUUCCUAAAUAGGCAAGGCUAUAACCUGCAAAAAAUUGAGAUGUCACUGGGCAUUGUGGCACAUGCCUGUAAUGUCAGCACUUUGGGAGGCCGUGGCAGGCAGAUCACCUGAGGUCAGGAGUUCAAGACCAGCCUCGCCAACAUGGCGAAACCCUGUCUCUACACGGGUGGCUGUCAUGAGUAUUGUUACUUCUGUGCCAGGAAAAUGCUAGAUGCCUGGAUAAGUGUGGGCAACAGGCUUUCCCCUGAUAAACUGCCCCCUGAAUGUGCCAUGGAACCUCCAGCCUGGGGCUGGGAUGGCCACUGCUAGGCCUUGCCCUGAGAUACCACAGUAUACGUGUGCCUAACCCAUGCCCAGGACCCCACUCCAGGAGGUGCAGAAGGUGGCAGUAGCCACAGGGGAUGAGGAGGGAAGACCUGUGGUGCCAGGGGGUAGGAGCAGUGGGCUGAGAGCCUGUCCCAGAGGUGCAGGGAUGGUAUGUCAGCUGAAGCUCCAAGCACCCAGCACAGGCUCCAUUGUCCCAGAGGACUUCACUGACAAAACACACAUUCAAAGAUCACGUUAUCGAGCAUUUCAGAAUGCCUGUCAAAGGGCAUUAAACAUCAGGCAUGGGGACUUUCUGAGCACAGGGUGUGACUCAGCAACCAUACAGUAUGGCUGAACUGUUCCACAGCUGUUGCUGUGUUCUGAAUAUUUGUGUUCCCCUAGAAUCCGUAUGUUGAAGCCCUAAUUCUCCAUGUGAUUGUGUUUGGAGAUAGGGAUUUUAGGAGGUAAUUAAGCUGAAAUAAGGUUAUAAGGUCUAAUCCAAUAAGACUUGUGUCCCUAUAGAAGAGACUUGUGUCCCUAUAAGAAGAGAGAGAGAGACCAGUCUCUCUCUGGGAUUACAGGUGGCUUACAUCUGUAAUCACAGCAUUUUGGGAGGCUGAGGCAGGUGGAUCACUUGAGGUCAGGAGUUCAAGACCAGCAGGGCCAACAUGGUGAAACACUGUCUCUACUAAAAAUACAAAAGUUAGCUGGGCCUGGUGGCACAUGCCUGUAAUCCCAGCUACUCGGGAGGCUGAGGCAGAAGAUAAUUCCUUGAACCCAGGAGGCGGAAGUUGCAAGGAGCCAAGAUGGUGCCACUGCACUCCAGCUUGGAUGACAAAGCGAGACUCCAUCCCCCUCAAAAAAAGAGAGAGAGAGAGAGACAGCAAACUACACCUUCUCAGUGAGCAUGCAUCGAGGAGAGGCCACGUGAGCACACACAAGAAGGCAGUCGUCUGCAAGCCAGGAAGAGAGCCCUCACCAGAACAUGCAGGUGCCCUGAUCUCAGACUUCCAGCCUCCAGAACUGUGAGAAAAUGUCUGUUGUUUAAGCCACUCAGUCUAUGACAUUUUGUUCUGGCAGCCUGAGCCAUCUAAUGCCCCUGUGGAGCCAGACUGGGGAGCAGGAAGAUCAUGAAUUCCUUAAUGAACCUGUUGAGUUAGGGGAUCUAAGUGAUACUCAACUGGCUAUUCCUCACAUACAAACUAGUAGAUCCAGUGGCCAAGAGGGAAGCUAGAAAUACCAGUUUGGGAGUCAUUAAUAUACAAAUAGUAAUUAGAUCCGUGGGAGUGGAUGAGGUCACCCAAGCAUGGUGUUUAAAGUGAGAAGAGAGUGUAGUUAGAAACUAAGGUGGGGUGCCAACAUUUAGGAGGUGGCCAGAGGCUGAAAGACAAAGAGUAGGAAAGAUCAAAAAGAAGGGAGGAAAUCCAAGAGUCAAGUAUGGUAUUCUGGAAACCAAAGAAAGGUAGAAAUUAGUCAGCUUGUUAAAUGCUGUUAACAAAUCAAGCAAGAGAAAGGUUGGAGAAUGCCUGGUGGAUCUGGCCAUGAGGAGGUCUCGGGAAGGUAAUCUGGUUUGACAAGUGGAGCUAGAAGCUGAACUGGGAUGAGGUGAGGAAUGCAAGGGUGAGAGGCAGCAUGGGGAAGCCCUAUGUCAGUGGG
ensembl:lncRNA